rnacentral:rRNA from 1 species
CAGCAGCCGCGGUAAUACCAGCUCCAAUAGCGUAAAUUAAAGUUGUUGCGGUUAAAAAGCUCGUAGUUGAAUCUGUGUCGCACACCGUCGGUUCACCGCUCGCGGUGUUUAACUGGCGUGAUGUGGGACGUCCUACCGGUGGGCUUAGCCUCGCGAGGGGCGGCCCAACUAAUAUCCCGUCGCGGUGCUCUUUACUGAGUGUCGAGUCGGGCCGGUACGUUUACUUUGAACAAAUUAGAGUGCUUAAAGCAGGCUAUCCUCGCCUGAAUACUGCGUGCAUGGAAUAAUGGAAUAGGACCUCGGUUCUAUUUUGUUGGUUUUCGGAACCCCGAGGUAAUGAUUAAUAGGGACAGAUGGGGGCAUUCAUAUUGCGACGUUAGAGGUGAAAUUCUUGGAUCGUCGCAAGACGGACAGAAGCGAAAGCAUUUGCCAAAAAUGUUUUCAUUAAUCAAGAACGAAAGUUAGAGGUUCGAAGGCGAUCAGAUACCGCCCUAGUUCUAACCAUAAACGAUGCCAGCUAGCGAUCCGCCGAAGUUCCUCCGAUGACUCGGCGGGCAGCUUCCGGGAAACCAAAGCUUUUGGGUUCCGGGGGAAGUAUGGUUGCAAAGCUGAAACUUAAAGGAAUUGACGGAAGGGCACCACCAGGAGUGGAGCCUGCGGCUUAAUUUGACUCAACACGGGAAACCUCACCAGGCCCAGACACCGGAAGGAUUGACAGAUUGAUAGCUCUUUCUUGAUUCGGUGGGUGGUGGUGCAUGGCCGUUCUUAGUUGGUGGAGCGAUUUGUCUGGUUAAUUCCGAUAACGAACGUGACUCUAGCCUGCUAAAUAGGCGUACCUUAUGGUAUCUCGAAGGCCCCCGGCUUCGGCCGGCGGGUUUUUACUACCAACGUACAAACAAAUCUUCUUAGAGGGACAGCGGCUUCUAGCCGCACGAGAUUGAGCAAUAACAGGUCUGUGAUGCCCUUAGAUGUUCUGGGCCGCACGCGCGCUACACUGAAGGAAUCAGCGUGUGUUCCCUGGCCGAAAGGCCCGGGUAACCCGCUGUACCUCCUUCGUGCUAGGGAUUGGGGCUUGCAAUUGUUCCCCAUGAACGAGGAAUUCCCAGUAAGCGCGAGUCAUAAGCUCGCGUUGAUUACGUCCCUGCCCUUUGCACACACCGCCCGU